rnacentral:lncRNA from 1 species
CCUAAGAAAUAUAAUUAAAGUACAGGGAAAAUUAAAAGAAAGUUCACAGAGAGAUAUCACGGCAAAUGAUAAAUACAAAAGCCUGCCUUGUUUCCCAUACCCCCUGUGUCUUAGAUUCCCUGAAUUUUACCUCCCAGUGGACCGUGCUUGUCCCUUUGUAAUGGCGCUCCAAGCAGCACUGCUGCACACCAAUUCCUGAGCUUCCCUGCUUCUUGAGCUUAGGAAUAGUUGUGCUUCUAUUUCCUGUUUAUUUGCUCAUCACUGGAGUAGCAACUGAACCACACAAUUGGGAUAAGUACCCUGAGGCCAUUUUGGGAGUAAUCUUCCAUUUCUUCCUUACGUAUAAAACUGCCCCUCACAGAGAAACUGUCUAGAGUGAUAGGUCCAGAGUAGAGCUCUAGCUUUGCUUUACCCUUUGCAGCUGUGCUCUGAGAGCUUUGAUGCAAUCCCACUGCAACUGGAAUCAGUGACAGAGUAGGGAUGCUCAGGGAAUCUGUUGGGCCACCAAAGAAAACUCACUUCUAGCUAAUGCUUAUCUGGGGCUAUGGAAGUUGUCUAACAUCCCUGGGGACAGAGUGUUUGCCCUGAAAAGGAACAUUCCCUUGGCACAAAGUAUCCUGUUGGCUGGAUUUUAUUAUAAAUGUGACAAGAAUGCUUUUGGCCAGUAACUGGUGGUUGGGUCAGUUUGUGUUUUGUAAACCCAUAAAGAGGAAAAGGCUCUCAUGUGGUUGGGAGAGGUGGGAAUGGAUCAUGCACUAAGGUCAGGUCUGGUGAAGUUAGGGAAUAAGGCCAGUGUUUACGAAGAGUGAUUCCUUCAUGAACCCCUAAAAGAUGCUCUGGAACACUACCAGUAGGAUGAUGUCUGUAUGUAGAGGUGCAGAUGACAUGUUCUCGGAAUACAGAGGAAGGCACCACUGCCUCUACCUUGAGAGUAUAUCACAGAGAAAGAUUUAUAUUUGGACUAGAUGGCUGAGAGAUGAGUAGGAGUUUGAUAGAAGAGAGCAUGGAAACUGGCUGUACAACGGCAGAAAGGGCAGGAAAGGCUGAGGAGAAUUGGCCUCUGGGGGUGGGUUAUAGAUAUGGGCCUGGGCACCACAUUCUGGAGCUUGCAAUGGGGUAUGUAAAAGCUUAGAUGGGAUGGUCUUUUCCUCUCCUCCCAUGGGUUCAUAGUUGGCCCACCUCACUCACUGCUGCAAACAAGCUGCCCCCAUUUGAGAGAGAGCUGGAGUGGGGUCUCUAAGCCUCCAGCAACCACUUAGGAGCUAGCCUUGAUGCCCCAGCAGCUAACCUCAUGGAGACCCCAUAGUCCAUCCUAUCUUGGGAAGACAAUGCAGGCAUGGGGAAGGUAACAUUCCCCUCCAGACUCCAGAGGCUCCAAGGAGCCUCUCUCUCUCUUCAAGAAAAGAAAUAGUCACUGAGCCACGGGUGGAGGUGAACAUGGUUUGGGACCAACAGGCGGCUGGAUGGUUUCACCUCCACGGUCAUACAAUGGUACUGGGAGAUGAAUGGGGGUAGGGCGAUCUAGAAUUAGUUCAACCUCAACUUCCAGUGGGGUGGUGCUUGGAGUUGACUCAUUGUGGCCCCAUUUAAUAUUCGCAGUCACCAGUUGGGGUAGGUGGGACUGUUGCUCCCAUUUCACAGAUCAGGACAGGAUAGUUUGCUAGAGGUCACAGGACUAGUUGGGGAAAGGAAAGGGUGUCAGGUAGGAUUUUAACCUUAGAGCCUCACGUUUUCUUAGGCUCUUUCAGGGGGACCUUGGGCAAAUUCCGUUCUCUCUUGGUGGGGGGGGGUCUCCAUUCCUUAUUUGUAAAUUAAGGAGUUCUUCCAGUUUGUGAUUCUCUGUACUUUAACUUGGAUAGGUUUUGUAAAAUGGGGAUUAUGGGAACCCCACUAUAUUUAAGUAGAGUAGGUCUGGGGUGAGGCCCAGUAAUCUGCAGCUUUGAACAAACCUCGGCAUCCACAAAACUGGCUGAGAUACUCAGGGAAAGUUUAUGAUGCAUGAAAAUCUUAUUGCGAGCUGUCCAAAACACAUAACACUGAGCUCCAUCUGCAGAGAUCCUGUUUUGAUACCCUUGGUUGGACUGUGGCUGGGUAAUUUGCAUUUGUCAGAAGUGAGGCCAGUCACCUGGUCAACAACCCCUCCUGUCGCUCUGUGACCCUCCCCGGGCGUCCGCGGUGCUUCUUUACUUGCAUCUUGUGGGAAUGACAUCUGCGCAGGCAGCCCCUUUUUAGCACCGCUCCUCGCACGCGAGCCCAGCCCUUAAAAACCCAGCCCAGCCCCGGGUUUGCAGAUACUCAGGGCAGGGGAAGGCGCCUUUCCGCAUUUGGUGUAGUCCCGCAUGCUGCCAUUUGAUGUCGCGGGAGAACGCGCCUACAGGGAUAGGGCGGGGCAAGGAGGCGAGGAAGGAAAAAAAGCGACAAGUGAAGACUGACAUCCAUUAAGGUCAAUGGUAGCUCAAUCUUCGGUUCUCUGACUCCCAAGCUUCCCAUUCUCUUAGGAGGCUGCAUUUGUGGCGCUAAAAAAAGGGAUGGGCGUGGGAGAUUCCAGGACAUGUGCUCGCUGAAGAUACAACUGUUAGUCCAAGGUAACUCCCACUCGUAGUGGCUCAACCCUCUUUGUCAAUUCACCUUCCUCUAAGUUAACUAUGGCUGCUCCACCUGUCUUUAGGGAAACCUACUCCCCAUCGCGCUGGGUAUUUUGGAUUUUUUAAAAGCGUCGCGGGGUAAAGUCAGUGUUGUGCUUUUCCUUUUCUCAGCAGGUAAGUAUUUCUGGCGCUGACAGCGGAGAGCUGCCGGGCGGGAAUAGGGGUGAAGAGAGAAUAGGGAGAGAGAUAACAGGUGUGAAGCGUCCCUCAAUGCCAGGCAUCCUGCUUUGGCACCUUCAGUAAGUUUGUCUGAAUCAUCUUUCUAUUGAAUUCACUUUCUGUUUCACAGAUUAGGAAACCUCAACUAAGUGGCCCAAGGACAGUCCUUGGAUAAUUUUAACUUGUGUCAGAAACCAAAGCCUAAGGUCUUUUAUUUUGCAGAGGCUGCUUUGGCAGGAUUUCAAUGCAUGCAGGUCCUGCGAAUCACUGCUCCUCACUCACUGAUCCAUCCCGCUGUCCACACAUUCAUUCACCCAUUCAUUUCUUAGGGGCUCAUCUGCAAGGCGUGGGGCUGGAUGAUACUAAAAAUACAAAAGGGACUCUGAUGUAAAGUAGAAGAGAUUUUUUAAAAAGAUUUACCCAGAAUUCCGGUGCUCAGCAUGGUUUCGAUUUUUCCCCCCAACAUACUAUUGAUACCUGUUAUGUUCCACAUAAUAUGAUGGAUUCUGAAGAUACAGAGAUGGGUGAGACCUAUCCUUGCCUUUCAGAAGCUCGUUGUCAUAGGCAAGAGUAAUCUCUGAGGUUAAAUUUUAGAUAUCUAUUUUUUAACAAAUUGAGCAUCAACUCUAUAUAUUCUACUGUAAUUAAUGUACUAAAUAAUUAAAUAUUACACACAAUUUCUUAUUUUUUAGAUGAAGAUGAAUCUAAAUGGUGGUUCAAGUAUGUCCUUUGUUGAUCCUAGUGGACCAUCUUGGGUGCUUCAGACUGAAACUCUACCCUCCUGUUAUGUGCUUGGCUCUAUUCCUUCUUUCUGCAGCUCUCUGUCAAAUGCCAGGCUUUGAGGGAGACCAGUCCUGACCCCUUCCUGUUUUCUCUCCUUUUUACCUGCUCCUAUCUGAGGCCUCUUUUCCUAUUUAUUUGUUGUUCUUUCUCCCUCCAUCAUCUUCUGUCAUCAAAUCAUGUGUUUUUUUUUCAUAUACUACAUCUGAGUUUAUAGGGAAUAUGUUCAGAGUUGUUUUAAUUUUUGGUUUAGUUUCUGCCUCCCUGCUCCAGAAUGUAAGCUUCAAGAAGGGCAGUGAGGAGUUCUUAACACCCGUCACUGCCUGAGAAACGGUUGGGGAUGGAGGAAGACAGCUUUGCCGGGUACAUCCUGAAAUCCCCUGAGGUGGGGGUGGGAGUGGAGGGAAGAUCAGGGAAUGUCCAUUCAUUUUAUGAAGUUGAAGUUGGGUUAAAUCCUAUUAUAUCCUGUGUUGUUGUUUGUUAAUCUCAACUUGAAGCCCUCAUCGCUAGUCAUCCACUUUUUGCUAGCUUUGUGACCUUGAAUGAAGGUUCAAGGUUACCUUGUUUCUUUGUACCUUUAUAUCUUAUGUAUAAAGUGGAAAAUUAUAUUUGGUCAUCCUAAAAUGUGAUGUCAUAGGGAAUCAGUCACUUGAGGGUAAAAGACAAAUCAAUUUAUAAGGCUGCAGAAAUUACAUUCUUGUGAGGGUCAAAGAAAGAUAUUUGUGGAUUUGAGAGUCUUCAGAUAUUAUAUUGGUAGCAUAUUUACAUGCAGAAAAUACUGAAGAAGCAAUUUUAACUAAUCAAAUAGGAACAGAGAUUUCAGAUAGGAGCAGAAAAUAAGGAGAGGAAACAGUGGUGAGUAAAAAAAAAUUGACAAAUUUUAUGUAGAGAAUUAACUCUAAAUGGACAAUGAUAGGCUCUCUGGGAAUGUGUAAGAAAAGUUUUAAAGAAGGAUUCUUUAAAUGGAUGCGACACACUGCAAGGGAAAUUCUGUGACACCUGGAACUAAAACACAUGGAACUAAAACAUCGGUCUCAGGGGGUUGAACGGUAGAGGAAUAAAAGCAUUUUGUAUCACUUAGCACACUCGUCUGGAUCAGAGGAGGGAGCAAAACAGGGAAAUGAAUCUAUUGGAAGAUAUCAACUUAUUGAGGUAAAGGAGGAAAUGGUGAAUAGCUGUUACUUUAUUUUAUAUAAUAGUAAAAAAAUUUGUGUUCAAUUAUGAGCACUAGAAACAAAUACCAGUGAUUGAAUAAAAAGUUAAUAAGGGAAUAUGAUGUAUAAGUGAGUUAAUAAGAGAACUUGAGGGAUAAGUGAAUUAAUAAGAGUCCACAGUGGAGGCAAUUUCCCCUUUUGAAAAACAUUAUCUUUUGAAUAUAUGCAGGAUAUACUUUGCAAAAGAAAAAAAGUGUAUAUUGGGGAAAGAAUUUUCACUCAUUCUCGAGACACUCAAUACUUUUCCCUAGAUAAUCUAUGGCUAUAAAAGCAUAAUAAUGCCUUUUUAAUAUAUUUUCCCAGCAACUAAGAAGUUCAGUGUUUAUAAUUGUAAUAAGAAGCGUGCUGAUCUGGCCUGAAAUAUAGUUUUACUUUAGAUAUAUGUCUCAUAAAUAGUAUUUGAGAAGUCAGGGAAUAUGCUUAGAAAGGGAUUACCAAGGCCCUAUAACACAUGAGUUUGAGGGCACAGGGAGAUUAAGAUUUAGAACAAAGUUAGGUGAAAUCUAGGGCCAAAGGAUAGCAGGGUGUGUGUGUGUGAGUGUGUGUGUGUGUGUGUGUGUGUGUUGGGUGGGGCAGGUGGGAACCUUUGGAGAAUGCCUGUAGGCUGCUAGUGAGGUGCUAUGAUCUCUAGACCUUGGUAGGUCCUUGCAAAGAGACAUGGUUCUGAAAGGUUGGCACCCUUAUAGGUUCUUAAAAUAUUUUCGUUAUCCAUAGGGGUGAACCUGGAGAUCAUUACCAAAGUUUAAAAAUUUCACCACUGGGCACACAGGUUACCCUUCUCGUGGUGGCAUGGCAAAGCUUGAUUUGCAAGAGUUUCUUUUGGAUUGUCCCCAAUGAUUCCCUUUAAAAAUAGGAGCUCCUUCAGGGUAAGGAAGGAAGGAGAAAAUAUCCCUUCUAACCUAUUUUCUCUUUUUCAUUCCAAGGACUCUGGAAAGGCACAGCAGGUUUGGUUUUGAAAUCUGUAGAAUUUUAGUGCUCUCCAUUCUCCCAAGUAGAUGACUUUAGUGAAGGUAAAAGGAAAGACUGUUUGCUGUGUCAAGGGAAGAUUCAUAUGCAAAUCCCAAGACUCAGAUGUUAUUUCAGAAGAGUUGGUGUCCAUAGUAAAGUAGAACUGGCCCGGGUUCAUCUGCCUACAAGGGCAAUUGUCUGAGGCAAAUAUGAGGAAACUGGCAGAACAGGAGGGGUGGAAUCUUCCUGGGAGAAAGAGUAAAGAGAGUUCUAGGUGGAGAGGGGAUCAAUAUGUUGAGCAAACACCUGGCUGUCUUCUUAGUUCCUAUAUGAAAUCAUGGAAAAGACUUUAGAACAAAGAAUAAAUAUGUCAUAGCAGGAAAACAAAGAGCAGUCUUUUGGCCAGAAAUAGAAACUGUUAAAAAGAAAAACAAACCAACAACAAAAAAAAAAACACCUUUAAGUUUGAAAAUGACAGAAGUUAAGAAGUGGAAAGUUGCCUGGGAUAUGCUUUUAUUGCAGCCUCUCUAGUAAACCCGUCCCCACUUCAUCUUUGUGUCUUUGCUUAUCCUAAGCAGCAUGGUGGCAGCCAUGGCAUUCUUCAGGCUGAAGUGGUCAUUUUUGGCACUUGGGCUUGAGAUGGCAGUGAAGCGGCAUCGUUUGUCUGGGGAAAUGCCAGAGGUUUGCUGUCUCACAGUAUGGAAAUUGUAGAUGUGGACACCAAAGGAGUGGGUUUAAGAGCAAAAGUUUAAUAGGCAAAAGAACAAAGAGAGAGUUUCCUCAUGCAUUGGAAGGGUGCCUGAGCAGGUUUCCGGGUUUGGGGCGAGUUGUGGUUGGUUUUAUAGAGGAGCUUGAGGAGGCAGUGUCUGAUUUACAUAGGGCUCAGAGGGUUGGUUGGAGCAGGUGUGCUAUUUAUGUGAUGCACGAAGAGCCUGGCCAUCCCACAUGAAUCUUUAGUAUGCAAACGGGGCCUCUACCUGGCCUGUGCCGUGUCGCCUGCACAAGUGAAGACAAAGAAAAGGAAAUAGGCGGCCAGGCGUGGUAGCUCAUGACUGUAAUCCUAGCACAUUUGGAGGCCAAGGACGGUGGAUCACGAGAGGUCAGGAGUUCAAGACCAGCCUGGCGAAGAUGGUGAAACCCUGCCUCUACUAAAAAAACACGAAAAAAAAAAUUAGCCAUGCGUGAUGGUGGGCACCUGUAAUCUCAGCUACUCAGGAGGCUGAGGGAGAGAAUUGCUUGAACCCAGGAGGGGGAGGUUGUAGUGAGCUGAGAAUGCACCACUGCACUCCAGACUGAGUGACAGAGCAGGAUUCCAUCUGAAAAAAAAAAAUAGGAAGAGGAAACCUCUAUGUUGAGUACGCCUGACUUCCAGAUAUGCUUCCUUAUGAACUGACGGUGACUCCCAAAUUCAUAUGUUGAAGACCCAACUCCCAACGGACUUGGAGAUAGUAGAUUCUAUCAACCAAGUUUCAUAAAGAGUUCUGAUUCCCAGAGGUAAGAACUGAGCCUGGCUUUCUAGUUACAUGUUUAUUGGUAACUCUGUCCUUCCCUACAACACUUAAGCAUAUUUAAAGACUAUACCCUCCCCUGCCUCCAGCUUGGAUUGUAAGCUCCUCAAGAGCAUGGCUGUGUCCUUUAACAUCAAGUCUCCAUGUGAGAAAGAGUUCCUGCCAUAUCACAAAUGCCCAAUCAACAUUUGUAAGUGAAGAAAGCUAUUCUGUGGUGUCUGCUUUAAUAUUAAGAGAUGGCUUGCCCAAGAUUGCUAAGCAGCUUCAUUGUCUACAAUGGAACAAGAUUCUGUGGGUAGCAGUUCCAUUGGUGCCACUGACAGGAGGCCUCAAGGAAACCUAGUGCACUAGUCUUUCUGAUGACGCCUUGAUUUUCUUCCAGCACAGAGCCGUAAAAUGGAAUAUUCUUCUGACACAGAUACUUCAUGCAUCGCAUGAUCAGCCGUGUCCCAUUGCCUCUCCUUCGGUAUUUUUCCACACUGUAGCCCAUUCCUAUUUCACAAGAAGGGUCCAUGGUUACCCAUGAGACCGGGACCCCCUCUGGGCCCAGCAUACAGGCUGCUGGCAGGGCUCCUAGGCAGCGCUUGAUGUAACGCAGGCUCCUCUUAUUCAUCCCUAGCUUCCAGUUGUCAUUUACCAGCCCAGAAUAAGACACAUUCAGCUGGGCAUACUUAAAGUUCGGAGUCUCGCUGUAGAAAACAAAAAGAAAGACAACAACUUUCAUCCCCACUCCUGUAAUUUCUAGGUGCCCUUCCAUUCUAGAGAUCCCAGGCCCUCUUCUUGUUAAAAGACCCACCAUUGCAAAGUGGCGUAUUUUGACCACUGACAACCUUUAUUCAUCCCAAGGAAUGAAUUCAUCCUCUCUUCAUUCCAAAACUGAUUUAUGUGAAUUACAAAAAUGUACAAGGAAUAGCAAUUAUAAAUGAUCAGCACAUGUUUUUUGUACCUCUCCAAUUCGUCAUCUGGGUGGCCUGUCUCAGCCCAGCUUCCAAGCUUGCUUUUAUUGGUGGCAUAGAGCUUCAGGAUAUCUUCCGUAACAAAGAGGAGUGCUCUCGAAUGCUCUACCUUCACUGAAUUUGAAAAUGCAGCUGCUCUUAUCCCCUCACCUAAACUUUCUUGAAAACCUGAGAGAAAGCCAAGAAAGCAAUAUUGUCAGACAUGCAGUUCUCUACUUACACUGCUCACACCUGAUUAAUGCCUCAGUGCUUAGUAGUUCUCAAAGUUGAGUUUACACCACAAUCAGCUAUAGUCCUUGGCACACCACAGAUUGCUCCACCUCUCCCAGCUCUGAGAAUUUCAAGGAAUUUACAUUUCUAAUGAGCUCUCAGGUGAUGCUAAUGCUGUUAGUUGAAGACACAAUUUGAGAAGCACAGCUGCUUGCCCAUUUCUUCAGACUUGUUACCUUGGAUUUGGAGUUUCUGUUUCCAGUUUAUGAUCUCAGAAUUUUUCAAAACUUCUUGUGAUUUUUGAGGGUCUUUGGAGAAUACACGAUAUACAUUAGUGUAUGAAUCCAUGUCAUCAGUCAUCUCCUGUGUAGGAUGGUGAAAGGUCAGAUCAUUCCCUUGAACUUUUUCUUCUCCUCUCACUGAUUGCAAUUAUUAGAAAAAUGAAAAUUCAAAAGAAAGUUUUAGCACUAGCCCACGAUGGCUGCAGUUGGGCACGUGGAUAAUAUAAGUGAGACCUAUAAGCUACUGCUGACCUCUUACCUGUGUAACUGGAGUUUGUUAAAUAUUGAACACUGACAGUUACUGGUUAUAAACCUGCUUCUCAGAUACAUAACAAAGACAGGAUGAAAUCAGUCACCCUCCACCAGGCCUUAAGAUGCCUCACUUUUCUCCCUACCCACUCAACUGCACACUUACCUUAUUUUAUAUAUAGCAUCACAGAGCGCCCAGCAGAAGCAAAGGAAUGCAACAAUUGCUUCUCUCCCUGCUUCUCUCACCUCCUGGACCACACAUAUCCCCCUGUUAUAUAUACUGUGCCCCACAUAACCCCCUGUGGGACAUAUUCUGGGUUGUACUGAGUCCGUGUUGAUAGGGUUAAGUUCUUAAGCUCGGCACAAGAUGAAUUUAACCAUGAUUUCUCUAAGUUAUAGUGCCUACUGUUUCACCAGACACCUACAAUCUAUAUUGUUCUAGAAUCUGCAGUGUCCAGGGUUUGAGCAAGAUACUUUAGUGAAUAUAAACAUUAAGGAGACAUUGCCUUUUCCCAAGGCUACAGGAUAUCAGCCUCUUUGAAGAGUGACAUGGCCUUUACAGCCAGAAGCCCACAAAAUAGAAUGAAGUAACUGAAUUUUCCGUAGCACUCUGCGCAAUUUAUGUGGUGUUAGACUCAUGGGUUUUAAAGAAAGAUACUUGUGAUCUCAUUCUCACAAGCCACAAACUUCAUGGGACGAUGAGUAUCUGUUUAUCAGGGGAAAUAUAAACAAUAAGUGUGAGUUUUAGCAGUGCAUGUAUUAAUAUUAUGUUGAAAAUUGUAUUGUUAAGGAGUAAAAGAGAAAAUAGUGUAACUAAUUUUAAAGAAACCUUCAAGAAUUUGAGGAUGCUUUUAUAAAUGCAAGUUCCUGAAUAUGGCCAAAACACAACACCUCAGUGAAUUUAAAAGAGUAGAUGUUUUAAAAGACCGGAUUUUAAAAGAAUGACUGAACAUAGCCAAGUAAAUAUUCAAAGAAUUAUAAAAAGAAUAUCAAAGUAGACUAGAAAAUAACAAAUGGAACAAUUUGUAAAAAUGAAAGCCAUAAAUAAUGAAAUGUAGAACAAGACACAGUGCAAAUGAUAUAUAAAGCCAAAAGUUCAUUUUUAAAUGGCAAAAAGAAAGAGCAGAAGAGAGAGAGAGAUAAACUUCUGGUAAGGCAUUUAAAGGAAAUAGAAGAGAAAGAGAAAAAAGAAAAAAAAAAGGCAUAGAGUAUGAGCCAUGAGAAUGGAAACAGAAAAGGAAAAAGACUUAUAAUAGAAGAUUAUAUACUACUCCAAGGCAACAUAUUCACUGAUAAAGAAAUGGAUGUUAUCCCUCAAGAAUAAACUAUCAAAAUUGACUUUCAAAAAAUAGAAAACUUCAAUGAACUAAUAGAAAUAUCGGAAAUGAAAUGAAAUAUCUACCAUUUGAAAAGUGGACAAGAAUUAUGGCUUCCAGCUCCAUCCGUGUUGCUACAAAGGACAAUAUUUUAUUCUUUUCUAUUGCUGUGUAGUAUUCCAUAGGAAUACAUGUACCAAGUUUUUUUAUCCAAUGCACCUUUGAUGGGGAUCUGUGAUGAUUCCAUGUCUUUGCUAUUGUGAACAGUGCAGCAAUGAACAUCCUAGUGCAUGUGUCAUUUUGGUAGAACGAUUCAUUUUCUUUUGGGUAUUUACCUAGUAAUGGCAUUGCUGGGUCGAAUGGCAACUCUCUUUUAAGUUCUCUAAGAAAUUUCCAGACUACUUUCCACAGUGUAAUAAUCCUAAGCAAAUUAAUGCUGUAACAGAAAAUCAAAUAUCACGUUUUCACUCAUAACUGGGAGCUAAGCAUUGAACAUACAUGGACAUAAAUGUGAGAACAAUAGACACUAUGGACUCUAGAGGGUGGAGGGAAAGGGGCUGGGUUAGAAAACUACCUAUCGGGUACUAUGCUCACUACCAGGGUGAUGGGAUCUGUCCAUACUCCAAGACUCAGCAUCAUGCAAUAUUUGCGUGUAACAAAUAUGCACAUGUACCCCCUUUAUCUAAAAGGAAAGUUGAAAUUACAAACUAAAAAGUAGCCAAAAUUAGAUUAUUUUACAUUUCAAUUCUACAUAAGGCAAAACCAAACACAUAAUUUUAAUAGUAGACUUUGGUAACAGAUGAAAAUAUCCUAAUGCCAAAUCUGGUAAAGAAAUAACAAAAAGAGAGUUACUGACCAUAUUGGCUUAUGAAUACAGAUGCAAAAAUUCUGAAUAAAAUAUUCAGUAGCAUAUGAAAAGAAUGUGAACAUGAACAGUUUGUUUUAGAAAGGCCAGAAUGAGUUUGAUCAGAAGAUCUUUUAGGGUAAUAAAUUAAAGGAGGAAAAAAUUACAUGAGUAUAUAAAUUGCCAUAAAAAGACAAAAAUGAAAUAACAUAAAAUCUACCGUUCAUUCUAAAUAUAAUUUCUAUGAAAAUGGGAAAACAGGAAAGUGCUCUAAGCCUGUAAAGACAGAAUUAAAUGUAAUUCCAAAGGUAAGUUUUUAUAGCUAUUUCAUUAAAAUCAGGAAUGAGACAAGGAUAGAACUUUUAUUAUGGCUACUUGGUAUUGUUUUCUUAGGUUGUACAUUAUACAAUAAGGCAAGAAAGUAAAAACCCAUACAAAUAUUGGCAAAGAAGCAGCAAAUUACUUUGUUUAUAGAUUACAGUAUUACACAUUUAGAAAAUAUAAGAGACUUCGACAGAAAACAAAAACAAAUAACACCCCAGGCAAACAAAGAAGAUUUUAAAGCAUAGUGUGACAUAUUUGGAAAUGAAGAAUAUAAAUAGAAAGCAAUAACAAAAUAAUAAUGCUCAGAAAUAGAAAAGGAAAAAUAAUUUAAUAAUCUUAAAAAAUAAUAUAAAAUACCUAAGGGUAAACUUAAUGGAAAAAUCACGUAGUUUACCUCAGGAAAACACUAAUAUUUUACCAGAUGGCAUAGAACAGAAACUGAAAAAAGUGAGAGAAAGACCAUAUUUCUUGAUAAAAAUAUUUAGUAUCACAAAAAUAUUAAUGCUUCCACAAUUGUCUAAAAAAGCUCCUCCAAUACAAAUCACAAUUGCAAUACUUAGUUGGGGAAAUUGGGGAACUGAAAAAUUAGUUUUUGUUCAUAUAGCUCUGAAGUUUAUAAGAAAUAGGAAAGCAAGAAAAAGAUUAGUGAAGGGUGAUUUGCUUUAUUAGAUAUUAAAAUUUGCCACAAAACAAUGAAAUAGCAUGAGAAAAGAUUAGAAACAAAUACAGAAAUAGCUACAAAAAUAUAUAAAAGUUAUAUGACAAAAUAGACAUUUAUGUUUCAGUAGCAGAAUGACUUACUUAAUAAAUAGCACUAACGUAAUUAGCCAGCCAUUCGGGGGAUAAAUAUAAAAGAAUGUUAAUUCAUGCUAUUCAAAAAUAUAUUCCAAAUAGAAUGAAGUUUGAAAUGUCAAAAGUAAAAAUUAACUCACUGUAAGACAAAAUGAAAAAAACAACUUGUACGAUCUUGGUUUAGGAAAAAUCUUCCUAAUUAUUAACAAAAAAACUCCCAAAGCCUCAGGAAUCAUAGUGAAAAAGAUAAUAUAUUUGAUUACAUGAAAAUUAAAAAUUGCUUCAUGUGAAAAUCUAUCAAAUUAGAAAAUAAUUCUAAAUUGGGCAACAAAUUUGUAGCAUACACCUUGUGUUAGUAUCCCUCAUAUCCAAAACACAUAGAGAAUUUUAAGAAUGACACAAAAUCCCAGUGUAAAAAUGGUCAAACAAUAUAAACAGUUCAGAAGUAAACCCAAAAUGACUGAUAAUCAUAUGAAAAUAUAUGUUGAAUAUCACUAGUCAGGGAAAUGCAAAUUAAAUCUACAAUAAGAUGCCACUUUUCACCCACCAGUUUGGCAUAAAGUAGAAGAAGGAUAACAUUCACUGCUGAUGAGAAUGUGGGAAACAAUUCUUCCACAGAUUGCUAAUGGAAAUAAUACUGUGGAAUCCUUUGGGAGGGUAGUCUGGCAGUGCCUACUUAGGAUAAGAUAAGCUCUGACUUGGACUUAUCCCUUUUGGAAACCAAUUGCAUUGAGAAAAGUUUCCAGGAUGUAAAGACAUGUAUACAAGGAUGUUUAUUGAAGCAUUGUUUGUAAUGGCAAAGAAGUAUGAACAAUUUGAACCCAACAGGAGGAGAAUGACUGACUAAAUAGCAUUGCAUUGACUCUAUGGAACGCCACAGUUAUUAAAACAAAUAUGUUAGUGCUGUAUUGAUUCACUCAAAGCAAUGUCCAUAUGUCAAAGGCAAAUUAAAAAGCGAUUACAGAAGAGAUCAUAACUGAAUAUCCGUUUGUGUGUUAAUAUGGCCAAGGACACCGAUUACCCCAAAGGGUAGGAAUGGAGGAGAGGAGGGCAAAGAGGUGAGAGGUUAUUAACUUCUUAAAAUCAUGUUGAAUUUUUCCACUUCUAUAAUCAGCAUAUAUUAUCUUUCUGAUUAGGAACCAACAAAGAAAAAUUAAUAUUUUUCUAGAGAAAUUCUCCUGCAUCUCACCUUAAAAAGGUCUUCUUCAAAAUUGCAUUGAUUUUCAAUACUGAAAGAAACAUGGUAUACUAUGGAAUCAGACUAAGUGAAUGUAUUUCCAAGUAAAUUGCAGCAUAUUUCAUUCUUUCCAUUUUUUUGGUCAUAUAUGUGUGGCAUGGAACUUUUAUAUUUUAAUAUUUUUGUUUGCUGACUCACUAUAUAAAAACUAGCCUUGUUCAAAGCAAUGCAUAUAUGAAGUUACAGCUUGAUGGUACAGUUACAUUGUUAAAAUACACAUAGUGACUACAAAGUUACUGAAGUAAAAAGAACUAUUUGGUUCAUACAGUUAUUUAGCGUAUGACACUUUGAAGAAAUUGGACCAUGGAUCAAGUAAACUAACCAUUAAUCAUCGAUCCGAAAUUGUCAGGAAACCAGGAGAUCAAAAGAACAUCCCUGGGGAAGGUAUUAGGCUCAGCUUAUUAUUAUGUGGGGGCUCAGUGUCUAUACCCACCUGAAGCUGGGCUGGCCAUGAGGCUUCAGUUCACUAAUCAGAUGUGCAUGAAACAGACACAAAAAGGGGAAGUCUUUAGGGCCAAAAAAUAGACCUAGGUUUGUAUUACUAUUUCAGCUUAAUCGUGUAUUCCUUGUGUGUCCUCGGCCAAUAAUGGCUAAUUAUGGUAAAUACUAUUUAGAAUUAUGUGCUAUAUACUAAGUGUUUGACAUGUGGUAUCUCAUUUAAACCUUGUGUAAUCCUCUGAAGAAUGUCCUCCUAUUUUUCCCAUUUUAACAGAUGAUAAAACUCACAGAAGGGCCUAUGGUUAUAUAGCUAGUAAAAGUGGCAGAGUCCGUUGAACUUGAAUUCAGAUUGGGGAAUGCUUUAACAGAUGGUAUCCAGCAGCUACCUGACUGAAUAUUUCUCAGUGUUGUUUCCUCAUCUCUAAAUUAAAGAUAUUAAAGCUCA